AUUGAACGCUGGCGGCAGGCCUAACACAUGCAAGUCGAGCGGAGCGGCGGACGGGUGAGUAAUGCCUAUGUAUCUGCCUGGUAGUGGGGGAUGACGUCAGGAAACGGGCGCUAAUACCGCAUCCUAUUAGCUGAGCAUAGGUCGGAUUAGCAAGUUGGUGGGGUAACGGCUCACCUAGGCGACGAACCCUAGCCGGUCUGAGAGGAUGACCAGCCACACUGGAACUGAGACACGGUCCAGACUCCUACGGGAGGCAGCAGUGGGGAAUAUGGCACAAUGGGCGCAAGCCGGAUGCAGCCAUGCCGCGUGUAUGAAGAAGGCCUUCGGGUUGUAAAGCACUUUCAGCGGGGAGGCGUUACCCGCAGAAGAAGCACCGGCUAACUCCGUGCCAGCCGCCGCGGUAAUAC
rnacentral:rRNA from 1 species